rnacentral:lncRNA from 1 species
CAGGAGCUGGGCCAACUGUGCCAGGUUUGGGGCAUGUUGAGGAAGUUUCUGAGUUACACCAUGUCUCUGCCUGCCCAGAAAGAUAGAACUGUUGCGGCAAGACCCCCAGGAAGAAGAACUAUGUCCUAGUGAAUCAGAAAUAAACUGUAAAAGAUGAUGGAGACUUCAGAGCAAGGACAAAAGCUUUUCUGCACACAUCGUUCUCUGCUUCACCCUUGGUUUGCCUCCUUCUCAUCUGAGUCCUGCAGCUCCUAGAGUCUGUUCCACACCCUUGCUCCAUAUUGGUGAAAAGCCUGCAUGGCCAGAAGCUGGGAGAGAGUGGAAGGCAGAGAGCUGUGAUCUAGGGUACUCCCUGUCUUCUCUGGCUGGACCUCUCACUUGUACAUGGAGGCAUUCACAAGAAGGGAAACCCCUGCAGACUAAGAAGAAGGCUGGACUCAAGAACUAGCAGGGUCCAGAUUUGUGCAGAGGAGGGAAAGCUCCCAGCAAAGGGGCUCCUUAUUAACAGUUGUGUGGGAGAGGGAAUGUGUGUGAUAUGCUUAUGUUCCAUUUGUCUAAAUAUUGUUUCCAUGAAGUCAGAGACCUUACCGUAUUUCUGACCAUCCAUGAUUGCAUAACAAAUCACCCCUAAACUAAGCGGCUUAAAGCAAUUUUUUGGCAUCUCUCAGAGUUCUUCCAUUGGCUGCGUUCAUCCAGGUGGUUCUUGCUUGGACUUUUCACAUGUGGUUAUAGUCAGAUGGUGGCUGGGACUACAGUCAUCUGAAGGCUCAACUGGCCUGGAU